rnacentral:rRNA from 12 species
AAUAGCAACCAUAUCGUCCUGCGAAAGUCAGAUCCCGUCAGAUCUCAGGAACUAAGCAGGACCAGGCCCGGUUAGUACUUGGCUGGGAGACUGGCUUAGAAGGGCCUGUUAGAC